AAGCUUUCUGAUGAUGCACGUCAUAUUUGUUGUAAUUGAAUACAAAAUUUCACAUUUUUUGGCUAUAAUAGAAUUCAAUAGAAGAGAAUCACUAAUCACCCGUUUUCAGGAGUUAGCAGCAAAAUAGCGAUGGCCCCACUUCAAAUAUCUAUUAAGCAAAUAAAACUACAUCAAUUGUAAAAGUUUGAUGCUUUUAACCUCAACGGGAACUACUGAUCAAUAAUUUUACACAUAUCUGCCUUACUAUAAUAGAAAACUAAGUAUUUGAUCAAAGCCAAAAUAACAAGAACACAGAGUCAUGUGCAGUAACUAAUUUAAUUAAAA